rnacentral:rRNA from 1 species
GUCGAGAAUCUUCCGCAAUGCGCGAAAGCGUGACGGAGCGACACCGCGUGAUGGAUGAAGUCCUUCGGGGCGUAAACAUCUUUUAUAAAGGAGGAAAUUUUUGACGUUACUUUAUGAAUAAGGGGCUCCCAAUCUCGUGCCAGCAGGAGCGGUAAUACGAGAGCCUCAAGCGUUAUCCGGAAUCAUUGGGCGUAAAGGGUGCGUAGGUGGUUUGAUUAGUCUCCCGUUAAAACUUCGAGCUUAACUCGAAAAGAGCGGGGGAAACGGUCAAACUAGAGUAUGUUAGAGGUGUGUGGAACUCAUGGUGUAGGGGUGAAAUCCGUUGAUAUCAUGGGGAACACCAAAAGCGAAGGCAGCACACUGGCACAUCACUGACACUGAGGCACGAAACCUAAGGUAGCGAAUGGGAUUAGAAACCCCGGUAGUCC